UGAACUCUGUCAUUAAAUUUGC
rnacentral:miRNA from 1 species